rnacentral:rRNA from 1 species
UGGGGAAUCUUAGACAAUGGGGGAAACCCUGAUCUAGCCAUGCCGCGUGAUCGAUGAAGGCCUUAGGGUUGUAAAGAUCUUUCAGUGGGGAAGAUAAUGACUGUACCCACAGAAGAAGCCCCGGCUAACUCCGUGCCAGCAGCCGCGGUAAUACGGAGGGGGCUAGCGUUGUUCGGAAUUACUGGGCGUAAAGCGCACGUAGGCGGGACAGAAAGUCAGAGGUGAAAUCCCAGGGCUCAACCUUGGAACUGCCUUUGAAACUCCUGUUCUUGAGGUCGAGAGAGGUGAGUGGAAUUCCGAGUGUAGAGGUGAAAUUCGUAGAUAUUCGGAGGAACACCAGUGGCGAAGGCGGCUCACUGGCGUGAUACUGACGCUGAGGUGCGAAAGCGUGGGGAGCAAACA